rnacentral:sRNA from 1 species
GACUAAGGUUCGAUUCGAGCGACAGCGAGAAAGCGUUGCCGCAGGCAACGACCCGAAGGGCGAAACGCGCAGCGCUGAGUCAUCCUUCCCCCACCACCA